GUGUCUAUGAAAAAAAAGUAAUAUACCAUAAAUUGCUGUUUUUAUUGACUUAAAGUGGCUCACUACACAACAAAGUUGUAGUUUCUGAAAUAAGCACAGAAUAUGAGUGUUACAAUCAUUCUUAUCAAGGCCAUGUGUCACUUUUACAUAAUUAUACAAUAAGAUAUAUGCCAGUUCUCUUGAAACACAAUACAAAAUUUAAUCAUGCAGGACCCUAUAUAAAGGCAAGUAGAAUCAAGGGUGUCCUGUCAACCCUUUCCCUAGCAAGGUUAUUUUUUCUAUAUUGAUACAAUAAAUUAGUGCCCCUUCCCCUUUUCAGGCAGAAGGGAAUUAUGUAGUAAAAGAUGUUAAUAACUGUUGAAAUCAAUAACGAAGAAAAACUUAACAAUACACCAAAUUACAUAUUAGCGCCGACUCUCUGUUACGACUGUAUAUAUUCUACACGUUGUUGUACCCGGAAGCAGUAAAAUCGAAAGUGAAAACCAACGAGACUUACAGACCCAAUACCCGUGAAGGGCUUCAAAUUUAGGCCUAUACAUGUAUGCCCGGCGCUUAAGACCAUUGAGCAGUGAGGGUUCUUUAAAAGCGUGCCACACCUACUGUGACACGGGACAUCCGUUUUUAAGAAUCAUCUCCGAGGACCCGUGACAUUCAGACCUGAUGCCAAGCGUUUGGCGAUGGAACUGUCACUACCUGUUUUAACGACUUAAGUCUGUUGCGGCCGCGAUUUGAAUCCCGACCUUCCGCAUGCGGGGCGAAAGCUGCUAUACCUCUAGAACACCGCGGCGGUCUUCCUGUACAAAACUAUUCACAGGCUUCCGACGUUUUAAUAAAGUAUAUAUAAUAAAGAAAUUGUCUUCCUGUUAUCAAACUAUUCACAAGGUAUUUCACACCACCACCUUGGUUUUCUUUUUUACCAGCUGCAUUGCUGGCAACUUUCGGCAAAAAGCUCGAUUUAAGAUGAUGAUUAAACGCCUACUAUACAUGUAUUAUAAACGGUCUUUUAAGGUAUCCUCCACAAUUUUAUGGAAUCAGUUGCCCGAGUCUGUCAGAAGCUGUGGUUCUAUUACAUCUUUUAAAUCAGCCUAUUUGCAGCAUUAUUUCUCAAAUAAGUGAUAUAUAUAUACGAUGUAUAUGUUUAGUUUUCCCCCAGUGAUAUCGUGUGUAUAUUUUAUGUAUACAUGACGUAUAAUUCAUAUUAUGUUAUCUAUUUUUCUAUUCUCUCAUUUAUCUGUCAGUGAAUAUGUUUUAUACAGGACCACAAUGUAAACUAGUCAUUUGUACCAAUUGUGCUAUCAUGUCUAAAUAAAAGAAUUUAUUAUUAUUAUUAUUACCAUUUAGAAAGAACUCUGUCAAGUCAUUUAUCGCGUCGUCAUGGUGAACUAUAAAAGACCAUUUAUCGGUUAUAUAAUCAACCGUCAAAUAUCGUCUACUUCUUCUUAAGUGCGAAAAGUCGGUAAAUGGAGGACUUUAUAUAAGGGAGGACCCUCAUAUUAUUAAUAUCUGGGAAAUUGAAAUCCUCAGGCUUCGGACACCUUGAUAAAACUGUCAGCAUUUCCAUGGCGUUUCCCUUGCCUAUACUGAAUUUCGAAGUUGUGAGCCAUGACUACAAAAGAGUAGGUACGGUUUUGGCCAAAUUCUGCCCGGCGUUUAUGGAAGAAAAUUAUUUUACGUUGCAGAUAUAUUCCUGUCAAAUUCCUAAAAGAGUAACUUAUAGUAACUCUCAAAAGCAUAUGGAAAUCAACUCAUCUACGCGCAUGCGUAGUAUAUAAUCAAGUAAAGUAAGGGCUUUCAGGCUAUUUGUGGUGUUUUCAUGGUUUUUGUAUUGAUAAACUUGUGAAAUUGAACACCUCUUCCCUCGUCGCCCGGAAUAAUUUUUAUAUGGAUUAAAAAUUUAUGAAAUAACUUACAAUUCUUCUUAGUUUCAUACCGGGCGACGAUGGAAGAGGGGUUAAAAUAUCAGUUGAAAGAUGCUAACAAAUUCGCCAUCGUGACGCAAUUUGCGUUGAUCGUGGCGGUUGAAGAGGAAACAAGAAUCAUUUGAGUAGUAAAUAUAUUUUCAAAUAAUAUAUGCUCAUAUAGUUAUUUGUUUAAACACUUUGACAUUUAUUAAAAUCAUCAUAAUAAUAAAAAUCCGGAUAAAUUUAAGCCUAUCUUACAGACCGGAUGCCAUUUUUGUUGUUAUGACUAUAGUGUAAACAGAACGGUGUAUAUAGAGUCCUUCACGGUAACUGCGGAGCUGCUGUCAACGCAUGCGCAUAAAUACUUCCGCAAGGCAAAUUUCAUUUUACGGAAAACGCUGCUUUCGUUUUGAUCAACUCAUAGAUCUUGCAAUAGUACGUUGUUGCAGUGUGUACAGGUGUUCUAAUCGAGACGAUGCGAGAGGAAAAGAGAAGGGGAGAAGUUUUUUUAAGAUUUCCUAAAGAUGCACAUAAACGUUGAAAUUGGUUGAGGCACUGAAUCUGGAUGGAUUUGUACCCAUGCUGAAUGAACAUUCCUAUAUAUCUAUGUGUGUUCUGGGUUUGGCACAGUGAUGUCAGAUCCCUAGAAUGAGAAUUGUUUUCCCACCAUGUUCUUAUAAGAAUAUAUCUGUUGAUGCAGAAUGCAGAACCAAGCAACCAGAAGGAAUAUUCAAAAAGUAGAGCUACCUGGUGCAUAAGUGUGAAAAGAUGGUGUACUGGAGAGGUACUUCUGCUACCCCUGGUUAAAGGGCCCGACCUAAAUGUCUGAUGUCAUUGGAGCAUAUAGAUCAGUUUCUAGCCACAUUGAUGAGACGGAAAGUUGGAUUGUAUGUUGAAGAUAUUGCUGAAUGCUUUAGAUUCUCAGUCACACCAACUUUCACCUCACUUUCCAUGGUGUCAGGAGCUUUGUCAGUGAUAUUCCACAUCUGAAACAUAAACAUCCACGAAUUAUCAAUUUUGUGUGCAUAUGUUUUGCACUUUAAAUGAUUAAAAGUGUUUGUCAUUAUAUAUGUUUUUAAUAAAUAAAUUUAAUAAU